GCAUUUUUAUUGUUUAUCUGAAUGGCCGAUGUUUGACACGGUCUGAUCACUGACAUGGCUACGCUAGCUACCGUACUGUGUUUGGUCAGCUCAAGCUAGCACUCUUACAAACACACAUACAUACACAAUCGAUACGCUUUUGUAAAAAAUAGUUCAUUGGUUAGCUUAAAUGACAGUCAUUUAUGCAAGCUGACUAAGUUUGGAAGACUUGAAAACUUCAAGACCUGAAGAUCAAGACCUGAAGACAAAAGAUCCUUUUUGAAGACAAAAGCCUCUGUUGAAGUUACCUGUUAAACUUCAUCAGCAGAUUACACAUCCCCCAUCCAGCUAAGUGUGCUACGUUGUGUUUUGCGUGUUUGUGAAGUGUACUGACGCAACAGAUCCGCAAUGAUGUGGACAAAGACGCGGUCUUGAUCAGCAUUGGAAGUUGUCGUGCCACGUUUCGCAACUUAGACAGUCUGGCAGGUCCAGAGUUCAACUGGCUGACCAAUGAUAAUACACGCGUUGCAGUGAUUGCUGCAGAUCACAAACAAUGUUCCACUUAUAUUUCCACAGGUCUACUGAAUGGAACACAUCA